rnacentral:lncRNA from 1 species
GAACCAUGGCCAGUGGCACCCUGGCUGUGCGCUGUGGCCCCCCGUGGUCUUUCAUCUCUGCAACCGAGAUGCCUGAAUCCUGGCCCAACUGGCAUCUCACCAGCAGCUACGUUACCCAUGGCAUUAUCCCACCCGUACCCUUCCCCCCGCCCACGGUGCAGUCCACGGUCGCGGACCCUCUACCUUCGACUGCAAAGCAGGAUUCUCGCAUCUGGGCUUUCGACGAGGUCCUCAGCAGAUGGGAGACAACCUCUGGCUCGGCCUACGUGCCCAAGACCCAUGGCGGGCCCUGCGCCCAGCCCAGAGCCCCAGAGCCUGCAGACCCCACGCGGACUGUGGGGAUCAAGGAUUCAGGAGAAAAGGUAA